UAAGGAUUUGCCUGAGAAGCUUACUUAUUUUCAUGAUCAUAUGUUCUACAGAAUCGCGGAGUAUAAAGGUUAAGUUUGUUUUGAAAACGUUGACAGUCAUGUUAGAGCCUAUAUUGGCAGAGGAGAGCACAAUUACAAACUUAGUGCCCUCGUUGGAGGGCAUAAUAAAGGAUUUAAACGAAAGUUCCACGCACCAUGAUUAUCUAGUGGCAUUACUUAUAGUAUUUUUGGCAGAGGCUGGGUUUCAUAUAUCAACAAAUGAUAAAUCUAAUUCGCGACGUCGUAAUCUUAGAUCCUUACGCAUACCAAAGGAUUGGAAGUUGAAGGAGUCUAAUGUUUAUGACAUAAGUUUCACACUUCCAGCUGUACCUGAUGUUAAAUGCAAGUUCAUUGCUGUUCCAUCAGGGGAUACGUUGAUUGUUAACUUUUAUCCUGUAAUAGAAGAUAGAAGAACUUACUGCAUUAGUGUACAGACUUUGAAAUAUGUUAAUCCUUUUUCUAGCGAUCUCAGUGGUCGUUAUAGAAACCUAAAAGAAAUAUCUCACAGGUUUAAAGAUUGUAUAGCCACUCCAGUGCGUUUAGAUGUAUCAAUGAACGCAGGAAUAAUGUGUCCUGGCUUGCAGGGCUUACCACUAGAGUUAAAGUUCAAAAUCUUGAGACUGUUAAAUGUAAGGGAUCUGAAACAAUUGGCCCAGUGCUCAUCAGAAUUUUACCAGCUGUGUUCAGAUCCUGAACUGAAGGAACAUAUUGAAUGAAUGGGACCAAAUCAAUCUGUUAAGAUGAAUAAGCCAACAAGCAGUUUUGCAAAAUGAAAAAUACAAAAUACUGUACAUAAAAUACAUGUAUUAUAACAUACUUAGUGUUGCCUCUUCCAUUAGGGAUUCUCGAUACAAUCCUCAAGAUCCACAGAUGCAAGAUUAACGGAAAAGAUCGUUAUCAAAAUCAAUAAUUACACGAUUGUGAUGAAUAUUUACUUGGACAUUUCUUUCAUCAUAAAAU